rnacentral:lncRNA from 1 species
AGUGGAUACAGAGGCUAGGAAGGCAAGGAGAUUUGAGCUGGGCUUAAAACCCUGGCUCUACAAUAAGGUGUCAGUACUGCAAAUCAAUACUUUUGCAGCACUCAUGGAGAAGGCUAUCAUAGCUGAACAGGGAAGUGAGGCCAUGAGCCUCUACCACAAGGAGAAGAAGAACAAAAGCAAGUCAGGAGGAGCAGUAAAGAUAGAAAGUAGUAGUGGGAAUAGGGGUG